rnacentral:rRNA from 1 species
UACGGGGGGGGCAAGCGUUGUUCGGAAUUACUGGGCGUAAAGGGCUCGUAGGUGGCCAACUAAGUCAGACGUGAAAUCCCUCGGCUUAACCGGGGGAACUGCGUCUGAUACUGGAUGGCUUGAGUUUGGGAGAGGGAUGCGGAAUUCCAGGUGUAGCGGUGAAAUGCGUAGAUAUCUGGAGGAACACCGGUGGCGAAGGCGGCAUCCUGGACCAACACUGACACUGAGGAGCGAAAGCCAGGGGAGCAAACGGG